CGUGCGAACCUUUCCUUCCCAACCUACAAUCUCCUCGCCGCCGCCACCAACCAUGCCGGCCGGUUCCGACGAGCUCAGGCCACGCGCAGCUCGACCCUGAGCUCCCCAAGAUCCGCCCCUCCCUCCCCUCCGUUCAGAUCCGCGCCUCAAGGCCCGCAACCUCGCUCGCGGCUAGGGUUCCUUCGUUGGAACCCGCCACAACCGGCGAUGGCAAGGCCGAAGCUCGCGAGAUCCGUCACCAGCAUUGCCCAGGUCACCAUGACGUGGAGACGGCGACGAUGGCAGGAGGGCGCCGGCCUUUCCCUGCUCGAGGAGGAGGAGGGGCGCACCUAGCCACCGGCCAUGCUCUGCUCAAGGAGGAGGGGCAGGAGGGGUCUGCUGCUAGGGCAACCAAGAUAUCUUGCCGAGCUCAAGCACAACCACGACGACCAACUGCGGCAGGUGUGCCAUAUUGGGCAGAGGAAGAGGAUGAGAAGAAAGAAGGCUUGGGCGUGAGUGGGUGCUGGGUGCUGGGUGGCGGCGGCCUUCCGCUACCUGCACCAUGGCACCUCACUCUACCGUGGUGGCAACGGAAUGCUCAUCACCUUGUAGGGAAUAUCUGAACCAAGUGACUACAAAGGGUUGUUUGGCAAUGUGUAGGUCAAUCUCACCCUUGUGGACAAGUAAUAUUUUUUCUCCAGAUUUAGUCUACAUUGUCCAGGUUGUAUGCUUCAAUUGAGAUCAUUAAUGAUUGAGAUCCCAUCAAGGAUGAUCUGAGUCACUCAGAAGAAGUGGAGAGUAGAAGGAGGGCACAAGAAGCUUCAUUUAUCAUUGAUGUUAUGUGUGAUAACUUAAAACUUGUGCUUCUCAUCCAAUAUUUGUAGAACUAUGUUGCUGUGCGCUUGUGCACUUGUUGGAUCCUUUUGUUGUGCACUUGCACAUAUAUAACUAUUUUUCUGUGCACUUUUAGAAUCAUUUUGCGGUGCACUUGUUGGGCCUUGAACCUAGGUGUAUCGAGGAGUCAUUGGAUGAUGCAUUGUAUUUCAUGUGAUGUGUUACUGAAAUGAAAUAUACAGUUUAUCUGCAAUA